rnacentral:lncRNA from 1 species
UGCUAUUCAAACAAACCAUCUUAAUGAAAUUGCUCUCCAUCAUUCAAUCAAGACCAAUCCACACUAACCAAAGCUCUAAUACCACUGUAUUAGGAGAGAGCAAAAUGAAAAAUAAUUCUCAAUAAAAUACAAGCGCACAAAUAAGUGCUAAAAAACCUCCAAAAAAAAUUUUUCUUCUUGAAUGAACCAAUGAGGAGAAAAUAUUCCAACACACAAACCAGCACAAAUAAUAACCACAAAAUCAAAACAAUAAACAC